ACCUGCACUAUUUGACGUUACCUACAGAAGAAGCACCGGCUAACUCCGUGCCAGCAGCCGCGGUAAUACGGAGGGUGCGAGUCGUUAAAUCGGAAUUACGUGGGACGUAAAAGCGCAUGCAGGCGGCCUGUUAAGUCAGAUGUGAAAACGCCCGGGCUUAAACCUCGGAAAUUGCUAUUUGAAAACUGGCAGGCUAGAGUCUUGUAGGAGGGGGUAGAAUUUCAGGUGUAGCGGUGAAAAUGCGUAGAGAUCUGAAGGAAUACCAGUGGCGAAGGCCGGCCCCUGGAACAAAGACUGACGCUCAGUAUGACGAAAGCGUGGGGAGCAAACAGGAUUAGAUACCCUGGUAG
rnacentral:rRNA from 1 species